AGGGUUCGAUUCUGGCUCAGGAUGAACGCUAGCUACAGGCUUAACACAUGCAAGUCGAGGGGCAGCAUUGGAGUAGCAAUACUUCAGAUGGCGACCGGCGCACGGGUGAGUAACACGUAUCCAACCUGCCGCUUACUCGGGGAUAGCCUUUCGAAAGAAAGAUUAAUACCCGAUGGUAUAAAGAGUUCGCAUGUUCUCUUUAUUAAAGAAUUUCGGUAAGCGAUGGGGAUGCGUUCCAUUAGAUUGUUGGCGGGGUAACGGCCCACCAAGUCUACGAUGGAUAGGGGUUCUGAGAGGAAGGUCCCCCACAUUGGAACUGAGACACGGUCCAAGCUCCUACGGGAGGCAGCAGUGAGGAAUAUUGGUCAAUGGACGAGAGUCUGAACCAGCCAAAGUAGCGUGAAGGAUGACUGCCCUAUGGGUUGUAAACUUCUUUUAUAAGGGAAUAAAGUGAGGGACGUGUCCCUUUUUGUAUGUACCUUAUGAAUAAGGAUCGGCUAACUCCGUGCCAGCCGCGGC
rnacentral:rRNA from 1 species